rnacentral:rRNA from 1 species
UACGGAGGGUGCAAGCGUUACUCGGAAUUACUGGGCGUAAAGCGUGCGUAGGUGGUUCGUUAAGUCUGAUGUGAAAUCCCUGGGCUCAACCUGGGAACUGCAUUUGUGACUGCAUUGCUGGAGUGCGGCAGAGGGGGAUGGAAUUCCGCGUGUAGCAGUGAAAUGCGUAGAUAUGCGGAGGAACACCGAUGGCGAAGGCAAUCCCCUGGGCCUGCACUGACGCUCAUGCACGAAAGCGUGGGGAGCAAACAGG